GAUGAACGCUGGCUACAGGCUUAACACAUGCAAGUCGAGGGGAAACGACGGGGAAGCUUGCUUCCCCGGGCGUCGACCGGCGCACGGGUGAGUAACGCGUAUCCAACCUGCCUCUGACUGAGGGAUAACCCGUCGAAAGUCGGCCUAAUACCUCAUGGCAUCGUCUGCGGGCAUCCAACGACGAUUAAAGAUUUCAUCGGUCAGAGAUGGGGAUGCGUCUGAUUAGCUUGUUGGCGGGGUAACGGCCCACCAAGGCGACGAUCAGUAGGGGUUCUGAGAGGAAGGUCCCCCACAUUGGAACUGAGACACGGUCCAAACUCCUACGGGAGGCAGCAGUGAGGAAUAUUGGUCAAUGGGCGAGAGCCUGAACCAGCCAAGUAGCGUGCAGGGUGACGGCCCUAUGGGUUGUAAACUGCUUUUAUGCGGGGAUAAAGUGAGGGACGUGUCCUUCAUUGCAGGUACCGCAUGAAUAAGGACCGGCUAAUUCCGUG
rnacentral:rRNA from 1 species